AGAAAAAAAAACAAACAGAAAAAAAAUGAAGAGAAAAAAACAAACAGAAAAAAAAUGAAGAGAAAAAAACAAACAGAAAAAAGACACAAAAAAAAAAAAGACAAAAGCGACAACUUCAUUUAAAAUGUUUUGAACUAAAAUAUUGAUCACAUUAAAUUUAGCAUGUUUUUUAUAUAUAAAUAUAUCCAUGACCCUUUAUUUAAAUUAUUCAACUUGAUGAUCAUAAAACUUCACUAAAUGAUUGAAAUAUUUCUCACUAUUGCAGGCCAUUUGUACCUGUUUUCUUUAGUUUUCAUAUGUUAUUUAUUUUAUAUAGAUAGAGAUAGAUAAAUAGAUAUUCACACUGGAUUUAGUUUAGCACAAAUACCAAGUUUUAUACGUGAAUUGUUUGAGUAAAGGUAGGCUGGUUGCCAGGUCGCAAAGGACGUACAUUGUAAUAAAUAUAUUCUACUGUCUUUCAGGACGUUUGGGCUAGGAAGUCAUUUCUGAAGUAUGUCUGAGACUUGCAAAAAAAGUUCCCCCUUCAGACCUUGCCAUAUAUAUAUAUAUGUAAAGAACAUCCGUUUCUUCCCUUACAAUAGCAUCUCUCUAUUCCCUUAUACCACCUACUGGAUGAUGAUCUGUGUUUCUAUGUAGUCCUUAUCUAUGACUUGAGCCAUAACAUAUGAAGUGCAUCCUUGUCAAAAUGUGCCUCUUAAUGUUUACAUUCGGCAUAAUUUUCUGUUCGUUUUUGGUUUUAAUAUUUGAUUGUGGACUAUUUACAUUUGUAUAGACCACAAUAUACUAUUGUUAUCAUUCUUCAUAUGUUUAGACUUUCUGUUCAUCGUCUGCAAUUUUUAAACUUUUGCUGUGGUAUAAUGUCACGCACUCGUUUCCUUUCAAUACCAUUAGUGCUUGCUGUUCAGAAUGAUAACCUAGUACAAGUCUAUCAUUUAUGUAUUUAGUAAAAUUGUGUUAUAAGAAAAAGGAAAAGAAAUGGUCUGCAAUAGCCUUUGUAGAAAAUGUUACCAUAGUUAUUUCCACAGUAACUAAUUCUAGCUUGAAAUUUAGUAUGGUGACAAUUUUGGAAUGUUA